rnacentral:rRNA from 1 species
UGGAGAGUUUGAUCCUGGCUCAGGACGAACGCUGGCGGCAUGCCUAAUACAUGCAAGUCGAGCGGACUUGAUGAAGAAGCUUGCUUCUUCUGAUGGUUAGCGGCGGACGGGUGAGUAACACGUAGGCAACCUGCCUUUCAGUUUGGGAUAACUUCCGGAAACGGAUGCUAAUACCGAAUACAUCAUCUUCUGGCAUCAGAGAAUGAGGAAAGACGGCGCAAGCUGUCACUGAGAGAUGGGCCUGCGGCGCAUUAGCUAGUUGGUGGGGUAAUGGCUCACCAAGGCGACGAUGCGUAGCCGACCUGAGAGGGUGAACGGCCACACUGGGACUGAGACACGGCCCAGACCCCUACGGGAGG